GCGGGUAUAGCUUAGUGGUAGAACACAUGCUUAGCAUGCACAAGGUCCUGGGUUUAAUCUCCAGUACCUCCA
rnacentral:tRNA from 1 species